rnacentral:lncRNA from 1 species
AAAGCCUAAAAUCCCCAAAUAUUUGCCCCAUUUCUCUUAUUACUCUCCCCUUUUCUUCUUCUUCUUCUCUUUUCUCUUUCUCCUCUCUGCCAGCUCCGCCCGUCGCCUCCCAGCUCCGCCCGUCGCCUCCCAGCUCCGCCCGUCGCCUCCCAGCUCCGCCGCCAGAAAUCGCCCACUGGCGGCGGUCGUCAUCCAAAUCACCCCAAAAUCGCACCAUACAAUCACCUCAACCUCUUCUUUCCAAAUCCCUAAAAACCCGCUCAGAUUUCAUAAUUUUUAGAUCUAGGAAACCCUAGUUGCCGUUUUUUUUUCAAAUUCGUGAAGUUCUGGCCACUACCACCCUACAACAAAUACAUGAAUGUAUAGAGCUCCACGAUACCUACACUUCUCCCCUAAUUUCACCCAUAAAUGCCGCCGUCCAUCGUCGCACGCCGCUUCACUACCGCCGCCGUUCCACCGCCGGUUGGUGGCCCCAACUCCUAUAAAAUUUAUACCUUCCUCCUCCUCUUUUUCUCUUUUUUUCUUAUCUCCAACCCAAAACCGCCAUUGCCAUAGAACCCAGCACCGCGUCUCUAUUUCAGUCCACUUCUUGACUCAAAGACGACCGUUUCUUUUUCGCAAGAGGCCAAAACUCAUUUGUUUUAGCGUUUGCCCGAAAGAAACGCGUGUUUCGGGGUCGGACAAUCGCUCUUUGAAGGUUCCGAUAUCAUCUCGUCACUCGAUUUAGCCUCGAAUGUCCAUAGAAUUAGGUAAACUAAACCCCUAAUCUUUUCCCCAUG